UUUUGCGAUCUUAACUCUAAGUUAUCCCCUAAAAAAUUUGCACCAAACUUGGAAUUAAUUAAAGUUUAGAACAACGUACAUAGUCCUAUUCAAAAGAUCGAAGAUUGCAAAAGCAAGCCCGACCCUAGAAAUUGAAAGUUGGGAAUCUGACAAGAAGAAGCAGCAAGCGAAUGGUGAUGGAGGCAUGGGAUGGAGUCGGCGGCGUCGCACACGAAAUGGAGGAAGAGUAGUAUCAGGAUGUUUAUGGGCGGCACCAAUUGAUGCUGUCGGGAUGCCGCAAGCGUCGGAGGGGACGAAGUGGCGUUUGGAUGGGGUUGGAGACAUGGGAAGGAGGCGGCGACAAUCUGGCUGCUGGUGGAGAACACAAUGAAGGAGCAGGACUAGAAGAGUAUCGGGGUGGACCAAUUAAAUUAAAAGAUCGAAUACAAAAUAAAAGAGAGUUUUAAAUACCUAUAAUACCCCUCCAGUGGUCGUUGUCCAAUCAGAGGAAGCCAACGCUGAAUGGAUUCCAUUGAAAGCAUACC
rnacentral:lncRNA from 1 species